AGGAAUUCCUGGAGGAAUCCCCGAAGGAAUUCCUGGAGGAAUCCCCGAAGGAAUUCCUGGAGGAAUCCCCGAAGGAAUUCCUGGAGGAAUCCCCGAAGGAAUUCCUGGAGGAAUCCCCGAAGGAAUUCCUGGAGGAAUCCCCGAAGGAAUUCCUGGAGGAAUCCCCGAAGGAAUUCCUGGAUGAAUCCCCGAAGGAAUCCCUGGAGGAAUCAUCGAAGGAAUUCCUGGAGGAAUCUGCGAAGGAAUCCUGGAGGAAUCCCCGAAGGAAUCCUGGAGGAAUCCCCGAGAGAAUUUUUGGAGGAAUCCCCGAGGAUUUCCUGGAGGAAUCCUCGAAGGAAUUCCUGGAGGAAUCCCCGAAGGAAUUCCUGGAGGAAUCCCCGAAGGAAUUCCUGGAGGAAUCCCCGAAGGAAUUCCUGGAGGAAUCCCCGAAGGAAUUCCUGGAGGAAUCCCCGAAGGAAUUCCUGGAGGAAUCCCCGAAGGAAUUUCUGGAGGAAUCCCCGAAGGAAUUCCUCUAGGAGUUCGUGAAGGCAUUCCUGGAGGAAUCCCCGAAGGAAUUCCCGGAGGAAUCCCCGAAGGAAUUCCUGGAGGAAUCCCCGAUAGUAUUCCUGGAGGAAUUGUAACGCCUUUCUGUUUGAUUUUUGUUGUACAUAAUAUUUUGUAGUAAAAUCAUAAUUUCUAGCAUCCAUAACGAUUUAAAAUUAGUUUUUGAUAAUUUUUAGAUGUGCGAUAAUUUUAUAGCAUGUUUUGAUAAUUUUAAGAACCAUUCAUAUAUCAGCCGCCAAUUUAUAAUUUCCAACCAUAAAUUUAGAAGCUUUAUCUGGAUAAAGCUAAAUAGUGGCAAACCUUAGAUGUAGAUGACCCGUAGAUUAAAUAAUUUCGUCUAAUGUUGUUUGAAAGUAUGCGUGAAUGUUAAAUGUCAUUGAAAGUGACUAAGCAUUUUAGGGUAUGAAGUAAAAAGUUCGCAGCUACUAUUUGACUUCUAAAUCAUUUAGGCUGAAGAGUAGAAGCCAGUUCUGUGAUUUUCUACGUUGCUAUUUUUUCUAAAAAGUUCCAGUUUUUAUAUCACGAGGAACAGAGGUUCUGCUCUCGUGCAUUUUUCUAUGGUACAAAAGGUAAUUUCUUAUUGAAUUCUUUUAAUUGUUUGAAACUAAUCAAUGAUUCAAAUCGGACAGCAGCGUCCGAUUGACGCUUUUUGUACGGGCUUGAAAGCUCUACGGCCUUCGCUGGCCCAGUUACGUUCCACGAAGUGCCAUUCCGGACCGUGCGGGCCCGCCAUUACGGUAGCCAAACGGGGAAAGAGGCAAUCCGACCUGCCGAGAGUCUUCGAGGGAAGGUUUCAUUUCGUCACGGUGGUUGAGUAGUCCCGCAGGCGAGAACCAGUUGGAGGCACGUUGGCCUUCCGGACGAGAGGAGACGGUAGAGUAUCGGUCCAUCAGCCGCAGCCCAUCCCCGCAACGUUGUUUCGGCCCAUCACGCACGUGUGCCCCUCCCGACGACGCUUCUGUCGAGGAGCCCUGGUGAUCCCUGGAACAAAAGGUUCGGACACCCGCUGUAGCCGGUACCCCGGCCGCUGAACGUCACGGACUGUUGACCCACCCCUGUCGGUUCGAGCAGCUGCCAGCACCAGCAUAAAAUCCCUGAUCAGGUAUGUCGUAAAGCAUGGCCAUGUCACACACACUACAACACAUACACUUUCACGUUACACAUAAAUGAA